GGUGAUCAGCCUGCAUUCCUUGGCAAGCCCAUAAGCUAUCUGUGGUGUUGCGGUACGCAAUCGCACAUUUCGCUGAUAGAAUGUUUAGACCUGCAAUGGUAAUCAUCAUGACUGCCGGUGAAACCGCUUUCUAAUUCGCCUGUGAUCCUCGUUCGCAGUCAAUCCAUGCCAUACAAUCCUGUAUACUAAACACGUAAAGUCCAUGCCAUUUAGUCAUGUAUCAUCAAUUAUUUAUAGUAAUCUAAUAAAAUGCUCAUGCAGCUCUGGUAGUUUACACUCAACGGCAUCAGCCGGUGGAUCACACUCCGUUGCUCGACCGAGAGGGUCGAAAGCAUCAAUCAUCUUUGCAGCGCUGAGCGACAUGCUGUUGUCGACAUCGGAUUAUUGAUCUUAUUCAUGCUAAUAACUGGUGAGUUUUCAAAAUGUCUGCGGUGUUCAAAAUGUAUGAUUCGUAGCUUUCGUGUCCUACAAACGCAUUGUUCCAGUAACUGCUUCGAAGCACGAAUUAAAGCAGGUAGUUCUCAUGUAGGAAUAACCAUUGCAUAUGCUCUUGUAUUUGUUUGAAAUACCUGCUAAAAAGCCGCUUUUAUUGAUGGUCUUGUCAGAAAAGGUUCAUCUGUAACGAGAGAAGAUCAGCAGCGGAAACGCAGACGUGUCGACGAUUUUACGGUAAACAUGUUGCUGGCCGUGGACGCUACUGCAAGCGCUGG
rnacentral:lncRNA from 1 species